rnacentral:rRNA from 1 species
AAUGAACGCUGGCGGCAGGCCUAAAACAUGCAAGUCGAACGCCCUAGCAAUAGGGAGUGGCGCACGGGUGAGUAACAUGUGGGAAUAUGCCUUUUGGUACGGAACAACGUUUGGAAACGAACGCUAAUACCGUAUGGUCCCUCCGGGGUAAAGAUUUAUCGCCAAAAGAUUAGCCCGCACUAGAUUAGCUAGUUGGUAAGGUAAUGGCUUACCAAGGCGACGAUCUAUAGCUGUUCUGAGAGGAAGAUCAGCCACACUGGCACUGAGACACGGCCCAGACUCCUACGGGAGGCAGCAGUUAGGAAUAUUGGACAAUGGGCGCAAGCCUGAUCCAGCCAUGCCGCGUGAGUGAUGAAGGCCUUCGGGUUGUAAAGCUCUUUAGCCGACGAAUAUAAUGACUGUAGUCGGAGAAUAAGCCCCGGCUAACUUCGUGCCAGCAGCCGCGGUAAGAC